CUCAGCUCACUGCAACCUCCACCUCCCAGCUUCAAGUGAUUCUCAUGCCUUAGCCACCCAAAUAUUUGGGAUUACAGGCAUGGGCCGCCACACCUAGCUAGCUAAUUUUUGUAUUUUUAGUAGCCAGCUUUCUAAAUAAUACCUAUCAUUUGAAUAGGAUUUUCUGUCCAGCUUUGGCCAUUGAGAACUCUUUCAGUUGGCUCCUGGGCCCCUUUGAAAUGCCUUUUUUUUUUGAGACAGAGUCUCGCUCUGCCACCCAGGCUGGAGUACAGUGGCACGAUCUCGGCUCACUGCAACCUCUGCCUCCUAGGUUCAAGCGAUUUUCCUGCCUCAGCUUCCCAAGUAGCUGGGAUUACAGGUGCAUGCCACUACGCCCGGCAAUUUUUGUAUUUUUUGGUAGAGAUAGGGUUUCAUUUGUUCAUUUUUGAGAAAUUCCUGUUUCUAGCACUACAGGAUGCCCUAGGCCCAUCAUGUGUAUAUCCUGCCCAGUACUAGAAUCAGCCAUUUCUCCAAAUAGCCCUGGUUUCUUC
rnacentral:lncRNA from 1 species